AUUGAACGCUGGCGGCAGGCCUAACACAUGCAAGUCGAGCGGAUGAAGGGAGCUUGCUCCUGGAUUCAGCGGCGGACGGGUGAGUAAUGCCUAGGAAUCUGCCUGGUAGUGGGGGAUAACGUCCGGAAACGGGCGCUAAUACCGCAUACGUCCUGAGGGAGAGAGUGGGGGAUCUUCGGACCUCACGCUAUCAGAUGAGCCUAGGUCGGAUUAGCUAGUUGGUGGGGUAAAGGCCUACCAAGGCGACGAUCCGUAACUGGUCUGAGAGGAUGAUCAGUCACACUGGAACGGAGACACGGUCCAGACUCCUACGGGAGGCAGCAGUGGGGAAUAUUGGACAAUGGGCGAAAGCCUGAUCCAGCCAUGCCGCGUGUGUGAAGAAGGUCUUCGGAUUGUAAAGCACUUUAAGUUGGGAGGAAGGGCAGUAAGUUAAUACCUUGCUGUUUUGACGUUACCAACAGAAUAAGCACCGGCUAACUUCGUG
rnacentral:rRNA from 1 species